AACGAACGCUGGCGGCAUGCCUAACACAUGCAAGUCGAACGAGACCUUCGGGUCUAGUGGCGCACGGGUGCGUAACGCGUGGGAACCUGCCCUUAGGUUCGGAAUAACUCCCCGAAAGGGGUGCUAAUACCGGAUAAUGUCUUCGGACCAAAGAUUUAUCGCCUUUGGAUGGGCCUGCGUUGGAUUAGCUAGUUGGUAGGGUAAAAGCCUACCAAGGCGACGAUCCAUAGCUGGUCUGAGAGGAUGAUCAGCCACACUGGGACUGAGACACGGCCCAGACUCCUACGGGAGGCAGCAGUGGGGAAUAUUGGACAAUGGGCGAAAGCCUGAUCCAGCAAUGCCGCGUGAGUGAUGAAGGACUUAGGGUUGUAAAGCUCUUUUACCCGGGAUGAUAAUGACAGUACCGGGAGAAUAAGCUCCGGCUAACUCCGUG
rnacentral:rRNA from 1 species